CUUUAUGCCAUCUAGAGAGAUUAUUAUGGUUUUGGAGAAUGUGUUGGAAUAGAAAUGGGUUCUGUAUUUCGGCAGAGGUGGGAUGGAAGCUGAUUUGAAUCCUGCUUUCACCUAUGAUGCGCUCAAGGAAAACGACAAACGCAACUUUGCCCUCCUCACCACGAGAAAAGUCAUAAACUUAUUCUGAUGUUAUUAUAACGUAAGUGAGAUAAGUUCGCAAGAAGACUGUAGCCUAGAAACUGAUCUUCAAAAUGAAAGUCAUUCCUGUGUAUGUAAAGAACAGCGUAAGAUCAAAAACUGCACUAAAUGUUUACAUCCUUUGAUAAAUUUUACUAAUUUAAAUCAUGCAAUUUCAUAUUCAUAGUUUAAAUUUUUGCAAACAAGUGAUGUCUUGUUGUAGGUAGUGAGAAGGCGCCGAACGCAGAGGGUUAAUACGGU